AUUGGACUACCGUGGCAGUGACGGGUAACGGGGAAUUAGGGUUCGAUUCCGGAGAGGGAGCCUGAGAAACGGCUACCACAUCUAAGGAAGGCAGCAGGCGCGCAAAUUACCCAAUCCUGACUCAGGGAGGUAGUGACAAGAAAUAACAACACUGGAAAUUGUAUUUCUAGUGAUUGGAAUGAUGGGAAUCCAAACCCCUUUCAGAGUAACAAUUGGAGGGCAAGUCUGGUGCCAGCAGCCGCGGUAAUUCCAGCUCCAAUAGCGUAUAUUAAAGUUGUUGCAGUUAAAAAGCUCGUAGUUGGAUAUCUGCUGGAAGCAAUCAGUCCGCCCUUUUCGUAAGGGUGUGCACUUGAUGAAUUCUGGCAUGAUUUCAUCCUAAUAAUAAUAUAUUAUUAUAUUAGGUUGUUCUAGUAUAAUAAUAUUUAUUAUUAUGGGAUGACAGUUACUUGAGAAUAGAGUGUUGAAGCAGGCUUUGUUGCCUUGAAUCUGCAGCAUGGAAUAACAAUAUAGGAUUUCGGUUCUAUUAUUUUGUUGGUUUUUUCAGUAGACUGAAAUAAAGAUUAAUAGGGACAGUUGGGGGCAUUCGUA
rnacentral:rRNA from 1 species